UGGGUUUGACAUGUAGGGAAAAGCCAUAGAGAUAUGGCGUCCGAAAGGGUCCUACAC
rnacentral:rRNA from 1 species